GACGAACGCUGGCGGCGUGCUUAACACAUGCAAGUCGAGCGGUAAGGCCUCUUCGGGGGUACACGAGCGGCGAACGGGUGAGUAACACGUGAGCAAUCUGCCCAUCACUUUGGGAUAACUCCGGGAAACCGGUGCUAAUACCGAAUAUGACCACUCCCGGCAUCGGGUGGUGGUGGAAAGUACCGGCGGUGGUGGAUGAGCUCGCGGCCUAUCAGCUUGUUGGUGGGGUAAUGGCCUACCAAGGCAACGACGGGUAGCCGGCCUGAGAGGGUGACCGGCCACACUGGGACUGAGACACGGCCCAGACUCCUACGGGAGGCAGCAGUGGGGAAUAUUGGACAAUGGGCGAAAGCCUGAUCCAGCAACGCCGCGUGAGGGAUGACGGCCUUCGGGUUGUAAACCUCUUUCACCCAUGACGAAGCGCAAGUGACGGUAGUGGGAGAAGAAGCACCGGCCAACUACGUGCCAGCCGCC
rnacentral:rRNA from 1 species